UACGGAGGAGGCAAGCGUUAUCCGGAAUUAUUGGGCGUAGAGCGUCCGCAGGUGGCACUUCAAGUCUGUCGUCAAAGACUGGGGCUUAACCCUGGACAGGCGGUGGAAACUACCAAGCUGGAGUACGGUAGGGGCAGAGGGAAUUUCCGGUGGAGCGGUGAAAUGCGUAGAGAUCGGAAAGAACACCGGUGGCGAAGGCGCUCUGCUAGGCCGUAACUGACACUGAGGGACGAAAGCUAGGGGAGCGAAUGGG
rnacentral:rRNA from 1 species